ACUGUGUUUGUUUUUUCAGAUCACUUUUCUUCUUUUUAAGGGGUCAAGCCGAAACCUCUUCCUUUGGGACUUGGGAAAAGACAUGUGAGGAAGGGUGAGGCUUGGUAGCCUCUUGUUCAGUUCUUUCGGCUACUUGGGCUCUAAAAAUCUCAAGAGGUGAUGGGAAGCCAAGGGUUUACCAUGUACACAUCACUUACUUGAUAAAUUCAGUUUUAAUAUAAAUGGACCUGGCAAAUCUUGGGCCAUUACAAUGCAGAUUUUGGGUGUUGUCAUCAAAGGGACCAGGAAUAAGGCUAAUGAGGUUGUCUUUCUCAACUGUUAGUGUUUCUUGAAGCAUAUCAUGUGUACUGUGACAUUUUACUCCUAAACUUAUUUCCAAGGAGACUGGUUAUUCACAACCCUUGAUUCUUUUGUCGAAAUUGAAUAUUCAUCCAAACUUUUUGAGAUAUGAUACUCUUGUAUAUUAUGUACCAAAACAGCAGCACCUCCGGGUACCCCAUUUUAGAUUUGCCAUCAGCUUCCAGUCCGUGCUAGUAGCUUGGCCAGGCCUUUCAUGAGGCAACGUGAGGCUGCAGAGGCCAGAAAGCAGGCGUGAUGGAUAAAGUGUUGGAGAACAUAACUGUGUAUGCCUUGGGGUCUCCUAAAUUAGUUUAUUGCCCUCAAGUGGAGUGGAGGAUGUUGUCCUUUCAGGAGCAUCGAAAUAAGUUUCACCUGGUGGUGUUGUCAGCUGCUGUAUGUUGAACUGGGGAGGAAAAGUACCAUUUAUUCUUUGCAGCAGGCAGCCCUGUGUAAUAGGGUUCUAGCAGAGUCAACCUUUGGAGAAAUGGAGCAGCCACGAGCUGGAGAGGCUGAGUUUCCUCUUUGACCAGAGAUCUACAAUGGAGAGACAGAUCCGCCACCAUCAUCCCAGCUCCAUCCAUGGCUUGGAUGUUUUUGCUUACUGGUGUCUAUAUAUAUAUAUAUUUCAGCACCCAACCCUUACAAGUUAAGGAAGAAAUACUUAACAAAGGAAGGGAUGCAGAAACCUUGACAAGUGGAGAGAAAGCACCAGUGACUGAACGGAGGGGCAAAACGGAAAUCCUUUCUCCAAGAUAACUCAAGUGACUUUUCACGACAAUAUUUUAAUGGAAUAAGACAGGAAGACUGUGUGUGAGAAGAAAGGAGGAGACAAGAUGAGAUUUGGCUGGGGAGCUCUGGAAGUGGGGUGAAUGGGAGGUCAUAGAACGGAAGCCAUCCCAUCAAUGUAAAAAAGACAUCGCUGUUUGGAAAAAGAGAGGCACCUGUUUGGUAGGACCCAACGCAGUCUUGCCUGUUGUGCCCUAGAAAGAAGGCUUUGCCACCAAGAAAGGAGAAGGUGAGCUGGCCCAAAGGCUAAGGUGUAGAGGAGAGCAACAUUGCGGGCCUCCAGCUUUGGGAUUGCAAUUCCCAGAAUCCCUUGCUGCUGGCUAUGCUGGGUGAUGGGAGCUCCUGUCCAACGGUGUCUGGAAACAUUGUCCACCCAUGGUGUGUAGAGGGUAGUGGGGAAGAGGGAGAGAGCAAGUCAAAAGGAUGAAAUCUUGAAGAGCGAAUGUCUGUGUAUGCCAUGAACAGAGUCUUUUCAAUGCCAUGACAAAUAAUUUUGAAUUUUGUUUUUUAAAUAUCGCCUUGACCCCAUCCCAUCUUUCACACAUAUAUUUCUAGGAGUCUCUUGCUCAACUGAAAGGUAGACAGAACUUUCUCAGUUUCUCACAUGUUGCAGACGGUAUCUCCGCAUUUCAUGGCCAUUCUCUUCUCUGCUUCUUGCUUUGUACACGCAAAUAUUAAGAAGCUGUGAAUGGUGGACACCGUUUGUACAUCUGAAAAAAAGCUGUAUUCAGCAAAAAGACUGCCCAAUAAUAAGCCCAUUGUUCUUACUGUGUCAUUAGAUGAGAAAGGAUCCAUUCCCAAUUGGAAGUAAUAUAUUAGAAUAUAUUAGUACUUGUGAUGCAAAAGGAGCACCUCAUUUGGUCAUAUUGUAAUGUCUGGCUGUGAGGUUUAUGAGGUUUUUUUAGCGAUAAUGUUUAAAUGGAAUUUAUCAUUCACCUCAUUUUUUUCAUUGCACAGCUGAGCAACAGUAGUGUACAUGCUAUUUUAAAUUUUUGAAACAGUGCUAGAUUGUUUAAAAUUGUAUAGUGGUGUGUUAUUGCUGAUUGCUUUUAGAACCUUGGAUACAGUGUGGGGAUAUGAAUAAUAUUUUAAUUAAUAUGUGAAUAAUACGGUUGCAGAUCUCAGGGCACCAUCUGGAGUCUCAGGAAAGAAAAAUCUCAGGGUGAGCAGCAGUAUGUGUGAGAGGCUAGUCGUAAGCCUUCCAUAUGCCUCAGUGGCAGUGCAGGGAGAAGAUGGAGGAAAAAAACCUCCCCUUUGUAUUAUGUGAGCAGCAGCAUCCAGGCUUGCCAUUGAAGGCAAUUCGCCUCCUUUGCCAGCCAAUGAAAAGCAUCAUCAUUCUUCUUAUUAUUAGUGUUAUUAUUAGUAGUACCUUGUUAGCUUAAUUUUACCCACAUUCUAGAGCCAUUUGCCAGUUUCCUUUUGUGCUCUUUAUAUAAAAAGAACAUUUUAAGUCUGGAAUGUACACUGCCAUUUGCAACAAAGUGUUUGUAUUAUUUUGGGUUCCCCAACUGUUUUCAUGGCUGUGUCAGGACUAUCUAAGGGUUGUAUCAAACAUUUUGAUUUUUAGUUGAGAGAGAGAGAGAGAGAGACCUAUUGGCAGCUGGAUUUAUAAGAGUGUAAUUGUAGAUUUAGAUACUCAGAGGUAAAGCUGCUGAAUUAAAUAGGACUUAAUUCCCAGCUAAGUAGCUAUAUGGCAGCAGCCAUGAUUACAUAAAUAUACCUCUUCUCUUUUUUCUUCUUCUUUCCAACUUGUUUUGUUUUCCCCUUCCUGUGUUGCUUUGAGGACCCUUUCAAUGGAACUCUAGUAAUAAAUUACUGAAGCAGGGAUGCUUUCUGUUGCUA
ensembl:lncRNA